rnacentral:lncRNA from 1 species
AGCUAUGGUCUUAUACGGAGUCAUAUUAUCACAUUGCACCGAUGCCAUAGCCCAGCUAUGGUCUUAAACGGGCACACUUAUCACAUAUUUUUCGUCAAUUCAUCAGGGUCACAGAAUAGAAGCACUCAAAUCCAUUGUUCCUACUAAUUUGUACUUUUAGUUACACAUUAUUCAUUAGUUAAUACAAAUUGAUAGUAUUCAUCAACAAUAAAAUACUUUAACAAUCAUAAGAUUUUCAUAUCAAAACAUUGAACUUUGCCAUAUGAACUUACCUGGACUAAUUUACAAAAGUCGUAGAAAUUCAGGGACUAUUCUUGAAUUUUCUCCUUUCCACGAUUCAGUUCGUUUUCUUGAUCUAUAAUUAUAAAAUCAUUCCUUCAUUAGCAUCCAUUUCAAUUCUAUUUCACUUCACAAUUUAUGCUGUUCAAAUUUCGAAAUUGCACUUUUACCCCAAAAUUUACAGUUUUCACAAUUUAGUCCCUGCUCAAUUCACCCAUCAAUUGAACUAAUUUUUCUCAAUUAACACUUUAUUUUAUCAUUAUAAACUAUUUCAAAACCUUUUAUAUUCUUAAUUUCAACAGAAACCUUCAAUUCACAACUUUUUCACAAUUAGGUCCUAAAUAUCAUUUUCUAUCAAAAUCACUUAAUAAAACCACCUUAAUAUGAAAUUAGAACUUAAAUUUCGUAAUAAUUCAUCAUAAAAUUUCCCUAUCCAUCCAGGGUAACCUCCAAUUUCACCCAUAAAAUCAAAAACUAAUGAAUUCUACAAGUGGACCUAAUUGUAAAAGUCAUAAAAACAUAAAAAUUAUCAAGAAAAGUAAGAAUUAAACUCACAUGAUGUAAAAAUAUGAAAAACCAGCUUUCUCCAGACCUUCUAUGGCGUUUUGGCUGAGAAAAUAUGAAGAAAUGUCUAGAUUUUUCAAUUAUAUCAUUAUUUAACUAUUAACUUUUAUGCUAUUUCUAAUUUUGCCCCUUGUUCACAUUGUUUUCUUGCUUAUUUCAUAUCCAAACCGUCCAGCCAUUAACCUUUGGGUCUAAUUGCUCCUUAAAUCCAUAUUUUUAAAUACUUAAGCUAUUUACUCACAAUUUAACAAAUUUUGCGCUAUUUUCAAUUUAGUCCUUUUUAAUUAAUUAGCCAUCCAAACGUUAAAAUUUUCUAACGAAACUUUAAUACUAACUCAAUGACACUCCAUAAAUAUUUAUAAAAAUAUUUAUAGCUCGAUUUUCAACUUUGAGGUCUCGAUACCUCAUUUUUGACCCGUUUGACCUAAUAAAUUCUUUUAACUCACUAAUUUCACCAUUUCACAAAUUCUUCUAAAUUCUUACUUGACUCAUAAAUAUUAAAUUACUAUCUUGUUCAAUCUUAUUUGUCGAAUUUAGUGAUCUCAAAUCACCAUUUCCGACACCACUGAAAAUUAGGCCGUUACAACUCUCCCCCCUUUACAAAUUUCGUCCUCGAAAUUUGUUACCUGAAAACAGAUUUGGAUACUGUGAUCUCAUUGACUCCUCUGUUUCCCAGGUUGCCUCCUCCAAUCCAUGUCGAUGCCAUAACACUUUUACUAACGGUACUCGUUUAUUCCGUAGUUCUUUAACUUCCCGAGCUAGUAUUUUCACUGGUUCCUCCGAAUAAGUCAUAUCUGAUUGUAGCUUUAUCUCAGUAUGAGGAAUCACAUGUGAAGGGUCUGAUCUAUAUCGUCUCAACAUAGAUACAUGAAAUACAUUAUGGAUCUUCUCAAGUUCUGGAGGCAAGGCCAAUCUAUAAACUACCGGACCGAUCCUCUCAAUGAUUUCGUAUGGUCCGAUAAAUCGUGGACUAAGCUUUCCUUUUCUCCCAAACCGUAAAACUUUCUUCCACGGAGAAACUUUCAAGAACACACGAUCACCCACAUUGAACUCUAUAUUUAUUCUUUUCAAAUCUGCAUACGACUUUUGACGAUCGGAAGCAGCUUUCAAACUUUCCCGAAUAAUCUAAACUUUCUCUUCAGUUUCCCGAAUUAAAUCCACUCCGACUAAUUUCGAUUCACUUAAUUCUGACCAAUACAACGGGGUUCUGCACUUCCUUCCAUACAGAGCUUCAAACGGUGCCAUUUUGAUACUAGCUUGAUAACUGUUAUUAUAAGCAAAUUCAGCUAAAGGUAAGUACCUUUCCCAGCUGCCACUGAACUCGAGUAUACAGCACCUUAACAUAUCUUCCAAAAUCUGAAUCACUCGCUCUGAUUGUCUAUCUGUCUGAGGGUGAAAAGCUGUACUAAAUUUUAAUUUAGUACCUACAGCUUCCUGUAGUUUAUUCCAAAAUCUCGAAGUAAACCUCGGAUCUCGAUCAGAAAUAAUUGAUGUUGGCACCCCAUGUAAUCUUACAAUUUCUGACACAUAUAAUCUCGCUAACUUAUCAAGUGAAAAAUCUGUUCUGACCGGAAUAAAAUGUGCCGAUUUAGUGAAUCUAUCUACUAUCACCCAAAUCGAAUCUUUUUUCUUCGGAGUCACUGGCAAUCCAGAUACAAAAUCCAUCGUCACAUGUUCCCACUUCCAUUCUGGAAUCAUUACGGGUUGUAACAAACCUGUAGGCACUUGAUGUUCAGCUUUUACCUGUUGACAGAUUAAACAUUUUGCCACAAGUUCACAAAUUUCCCGUUUCAUACCAGGCCACCAAUACAUUUUUUUCAAAUCACAAUACAUCUUCGUACUACCCGGAUGAAUCGAGUACAUACUACUAUGAGCCUCUGAUAAGAUAUCCUUCUUCAAUUCUAGAUUAUUCGGGACACAAAUUCUAUUACGAUGGUAUAACAUACCACUAUUAUCAAUAGAGUAAUCUAAGUUCAAAUUAUCCCGAACCAUUUGUCGUUUCAACACCAACUUCGGAUCUUCAUCUUGCAAUUCCCGAAUUCGUUGAAAGAAUACUGGUUUUGUCUUUAAUUCAGCUAAUAUAGAACCAUUUUCAUUAACAGACAAAUGAGCAUUUAACGCCCGAAGAGCAAAUAAUGAUGAUUUCCGACUAAGUGCAUCUGCCACUACAUUUGCCUUACUCGGAUGAUAAUCAAUGAUAAGAUUGUAAUCUUUCAACAGCUCUAAGCAUCACCUCUGUCUCAAAUUCAGCUCUUUCUGCGACAUUAAAUAUUUCAAACUUUUAUGGUCUGUAUACACAUAACAUUUCUCUCCAUAUAGGUAGUGUCUCCAAAUUUUUAAAGCAAAUACUAUGGCAGCUAAUUCAAGAUCAUGUGUAGGGUAGUUCCUCUCAUGUGGUUUCAACUGUCGAGAAGCAUAUGCUACAACUUUUCCUGACUGCAUCAAUACACAACCUAAACCAUUCAGAGACGCAUCACUAUAUACUACAUAUGGCACACCUGAUUCAGGCUGAGUUAACACCGGAGCCUCUGUCAACAUUUUCUUUAAUUGAUCAAAACUUUGUUGGCACUCAUCAGACCAUACAAACUCAACAUUCUUCUGUAAUAAUUUAGUUAUCGGUGAAGCAAUCAGUGAAAAAUCUUUCACAAAUCGACGAUAGUAACCAGCUAAUCCAAGGAAACUUCGCACUUCCGUAACAUUCUUUGGAGUUUUCCAAUUAAUCACCGCUGACACCUUACUCAGAUACCAUCAACUGACACAAUGUGACCCAAGAAUCCCACUUCAUGAAGCCAAAAUUCACAUUUACUAAAUUUUGCAUAUAACUGUUUUUCCCUUAAUAUCUGUAGUACAAUUCUCAAGUGCUGAGCAUGCUCGGAUUCUGUCUUUGAAUAGAUCAGUAUAUCGUCAAUAAACACAACCACAAAUCUAUCCAGGUAAGACUGGAAAAUUCGAUUCAUUAAAUCCAUAAAAGCAGCAGGAGCAUUUGUCAAACCGAAUGGCAUAACUAAGAACUCAUAAUGACCAUACCGAGUUCUAAAAGCUGUUUUCGGUACAUCACAUUCCUUUACCUUUAACUGAUAAUACCCGGAUCUGAGAUCUAUUUUUGAAAACACUGUAGCAUCCUUAAGCUGAUCGAAUAAAUCAUCAAUACGAGGCAAAGGAUAUUUAUUUUUAAUUGUUACCUUAUUCAGCUGCCUGUAAUCUAUGCACAACCUCAAUGAACCAUCCUUCUUUUUCACAAAUAAGACAGGUGCACCCCAUGGUGACAUACUCAGUCUGAUAAACCCUUUGUCUAAUAGUUCUUGCAACUGCGCUUUUGACUCUCUUAAUUCUGCUGGAGCCAUUCUAUACGGUGUCACUGAUAUGGGAGCUAUUCCUGGAAGCACAUCUAUCACGAACUCAACUUCUCUAUCGGGUGGUUAACCUGGUAAUUCUUCAGAAAAUACAUCCAUGAAUUCAUUUACAACAGAUAGUUGCUCUAACUUUGAUUUAGAACUUCAAGUAUCAAGAAUAUAGGCUAAAUAAGCCUCAUUUCCUUUACGCAACAAUUUCUGAGCAGACAUAAAGGAAAUCAUUCUAACCAUGUCAUCCAAAUUCCCAGAUUCAACCAAAACAAUAUCUCCUGUUUGACAUUUCAAGCUAAUUCGUUUUUCUCGACAAUUCACUACCGCGUCAUGUUUCAUUAACCAGUCCAUGCCCAAGAUAAUAUCAAAUUCACGAAAGGGUAGCAGCAUCAAAUCAGCGGGGAAAUCACAGCCCUUAACUUUUAGUGGACAGUUAUGACAUAUUAAAUUAACUACCACACUUUGACCUAACGGAUUUGUAACGUGUACAUCAUAAUCAGUAGGCUCAACAAAUAAAUUCUUUUCAGAUGCUAACAUAGUGAAAAUAUAUGAAUGAGUAGACCCAGGGUCUAUUAAAGCAUACACAGGAACAUCAUAAAGAUAGAAAGUACCAGCAAUUACAUCUGGAGCUGUUGCUUCUUCUCUCGCUCGAAUGGCAUAAGUACAAGCAGGAGCCCUAACUUCUGAUCGGCUAGCAAUAUCUUUCAUACCCGAACGAGUAGCCCCUGUAGCACUGCUUUGACCAGAGCGUCUUCCUUUUUGAGGAAGAAUUUUCUAUUUCUCCCUCUGUUCCACUUCUUCUACUUGUAAUUGGGGACAAUCACGAAUAAAGUGAUCAGUGGCCCCACAUUUAUAACAAGCCCCUAACUUCUACAUUCUCCGGGGUGACUUCUUCCACAAUGUUGACACUUAGGCCUUUGGGUAUUUUGUACACUACCCACACUAACAGCAGGUCUGUCAGAUGCUUUGUAAUCAGAUUGUCUUGGCCUACUUUUUCCUGAUCUUUCCGGUACUGAAGUGGCUCGACUGAAUUCCUCUUUAGAUUUCUUCACUGGUAAAGCCGAAAAUGACUUAGAUGCACUUCUUUUGAAAGAUUCUUUACUUAUUCUAUCUCGUUGCAUCUUUUUAUUAUAUACUUCUUCAAGCUUCUGAGCACGAUCUGAUAGAACAACAAAUUCUCGUAUCUCAAUGUCCCCUAUCAUCAUUUUAAUCUCAUCAUUAAGCCCUUCUUCAAAUCUGAUACACAUUUCUUCUUCUGUGGGUACUAUAUCUCGAGCAUAUUUGCUCAGAUAAACAAAUUCUCUUUUCUUCUUAUCCAGAUAUCUUCUACCGACAUAUUUCUUAAAUUCAUUUUGAAAAAAUUCCCAAGUGAUCUUCUCAGCCGGUACAACAGCUUCUAUUGUUUCCCACCAGUUAUAAGCUUCUUCUUUCAAUAAUGACACGGCACAUAUUAAGUAAUCAUCUGGUGAGCACGCCAUUUGCUUAAAAACCCUCAUUAUACUUUGUAACCAAUAUUCAGCUUUAACGGGGUCAUAAUCUGUUCUUCCCCGAAAUUCUUCAGCCCCAUGUUUUCUGAGCUUUUCAAAUGGAGAACGUUUGCCAGAUUCAGUUGUCGGAGGAGGUGGAGGAGCAACCGGGGGUACUACAGAUGUUGAGAUAGGGGGAGGAGGUUACGGAGUCUGAUUUCUUUCUCGUACAUUCUUAUUAUACCACUGAUUCAUGAAUCCAUAAAUCAUAUUUUUGAGUUCUUGUUCUCGCAUCAAUUAAAUCGGAGCUUCACUACUUGUUCCUUGUUCAGAGGCUUGUACUCUGCUAUUAACUUCUUCUUGCUCAGUUUGUUCUGGUCUAUCUGACAUCUUUUCAAAUCGAAGAUAAUCUAUAAUAAAAACAAGGAUUAGAUCGGAUCAUACACAGCACACUAUCACAGAUUUAUAUGGCAUGUAUUUCUAGACACUUUUCACAUCAUACAUAUUCUGAGAAUCGGCUAAACCGAAGCUCUGAUACCAAUAAAUGUAACGCCCCUUACCCGAGACCGUUUCCGGAGUCGAGAGCAAGGCACUACUAAACUUAUUUGAGCACUUAACCAAAUUCAGAUAAUUUAUAUCAUACUUUUCAGACAAGUUGUCCAACUGCGUCAUAGUUGCUAAAUAAUUCAUAUCUCGAGUUAUAAAACUUGAAACCCAAAUACGUAAAUUUUCCCCGAAUUUAUACUCAUAUAUAUACUUACCAAUUUUUUUAUAUAAUUUUUGGUUGGUCCAAUUAGUACAGUUUAUUAGUUAAAUCCUCCCCUGUUUCAGGGUUUGGCUACUUUGACUCCUGUGCACUACGAACCAAAUUUCUCUCUGUAAAAAAUUCAAAUAACCAUGCCGUUCGUUUUUCUUAAAAAUAGACCCAAUGAGAAAUCCAUAAAUAUACAGUAUGACUCAUAAUUAUUUUUGUGCAAUUUUUAAUGAUUUUCUAAAAUCAGAACAGGGGAACUCGAAGUCAUUCAGACUCUGUCUCACCACAAUUUAAAUAUCUCAUAACAUAAAAUCCAAUUGCAUUCGCCAUUUCCUCUAUAUGAAACUAGACUCAUUAGGCUUUGAUCUCAUUUUUUUUUCAGCCCUUAACUCAAUUUACACAAUUUAUGGUAAAUUUUCAAAGUCAAACUACUGCUACUUACCAAAAACUGUUUUAGUACAAAUAUUGUUAACUAGUUCAUAACAUCUUUACUUCAAUUCAUUCAAACUCUAUACAUGCCAUAUAAAUCUUUAAACAUAAAACAAAAACUACUAGAAUUGAUCUGAAUAGUGUGCCCUAUUGUGUUGAUCCGAUCUACCCACUUCACUUCAAGUCAAUCUACAUAAAAAUAUUAAACACACACAAGUAAGCUUAUUGAAGCUUAGUAAGCUCAUAGGCAUAUAAACACAAAUCAUAUCAAAUAUCGUACACAAUCAUAUAUCUAUUAGUUUAACUAUUUCAUCCUCCAAAUCACAAUUUCAUUAAUAACUCAUUGGAAUAAUUUCCAUAUGACUACUCACAAUUUAACUCCCUUAGGCCCAUUUCUCAUUUACUUCAUUGUCAAAUUAGGGAACAAUAAGGGAAUUGAGUGCUUCAUUAUUUCAUUGCCAUAGUAAACUAUGGACUUUCACAUUGUUACGCAUCACACACCGAAGCCAUAGCCUUGCCAUGGUCUUACACGGUUCACAUAUCAUAUCGAAGCCAUAUCCCAGACAUGGUCUUAUACGGAAUCACAUUAUCACAUUAUACCGAUGCCCUAGCCCAGCUAUGGUCUUAUACGGAGUCACAUUAUCACAUUGCACCGAUGCCAUAGCCCAGCUAUGGUCUUAAACGGGCACACUUAUCACAUAUUUUUCGUCAAUUCAUCAGGGUCACAGAAUAGAAGCACUCAAAUCCAUUGUUCCUACUAAUUUGUACUUUUAGUUACACAUUAUUCAUUAGUUAAUACAAAUUGAUAGUAUUCAUCAACAAUAAAAUACUUUAACAAUCAUAAGAUUUUCAUAUCAAAACAUUGAACUUUGCCAUAUGAACUUACCUGGACUAAUUUGCAAAAGUCGUAGAAAUUCAGGGACUAUUCUUGAAUUUUCU